rnacentral:rRNA from 1 species
UAUGUAGGGUGCGAGCGUUGUCCGGAAUUAUUGGGCGUAAAGAGCUCGUAGGCGGUUUGUCGCGUCGACUGUGAAAACCUACAGCUUAACUGUGGGCUUGCAGUCGAUACGGGCAGACUUGAGUUCGGUAGGGGAGACUGGAAUUCCUGGUGUAGCGGUGGAAUGCGCAGAUAUCAGGAGGAACACCGGUGGCGAAGGCGGGUCUCUGGGCCGUUACUGACGCUGAGGAGCGAAAGCGUGGGGAGCGAACAGG